UCCGGUUGAUCCUGCCGGACCCGACUGCUAUUUGGGUGAGGAUAAGCCAUGCGAGUCGAAUGGGAUACCUAAAUUUCCCAUGGCAAACUGCUCAUUAACACAUGAUCAACUUACCCUAUGGAAAGAAAUAACCUCGGGAAACUGAGGAUAAUAUCUUAUAGCUGAAAAGGCUUGGAAAAGUUUUUCAAUGAAAGGGAUUAGAAAAAUGGUUUUAAUCUGCCAUAGGAUAGGAUCGUGGUCGAUUAUGGUUGUUGGUAAGGUAACGGCUUACCAAGCCGAUAAUCGAUAGGGGCCGUGAGAGCGGGAGCCCCGAGAUGGGUACUGAGACAACGACCCAGGCCUUACGAGGCGCAGCAGGCGCGGAACCUCCGCAAUACACGAAAGUGUGACGGGGUUACCCAAAGUGUUCAAAUUGAACUGUGGUAGGUGAGUAAUGUCCCCUACUAGAAAGGAGAGGGCAAGGCUGGUGCCAGCCGCCGCGGUAAAACCAGCUCUUCAAGUGGUCGGGAUAAUUAUUGGGCUUAAAGUGUCCGUAGCCGGUUUAGUAAGUUCCUGGUAAAAUCGGGUAGCUUAACUAUCCGUAUGCUAGGAAUACUGCUAUACUAGAGGGCGGGAGAGGUCUGAGGUACUACUGGGGUAGGGGUGAAAUCUUAUAAUCCUUGUAGGACCACCAGUGGCGAAGGCGUCAGACUGGAACGCGCCUGACGGUGAGGGACGAAAGCCAGGGGAGCGAACCGGAUUAGAUACCCGGGUAGUCCUGGCCGUAAACGAUGCAUACUAGGUGAUGGCACGGCCAUGAGCCGUGUCAGUGCCGUAGGGAAACCGUUAAGUGUGCCGCCUGGGAAGUACGGUCGCAAGGCUAAAACUUAAAGGAAUGGGCGGGGGAGCACAA
rnacentral:rRNA from 1 species